CCAGACUCCUACGGGAGGCAGCAGUGAGGAAUAUUGGUCAAUGGGCGAGAGCCUGAACCAGCCAAGUCGCGUGAGGGAAGACGGUCCUAUGGAUUGUAAACCUCUUUUGUCGGGGAGCAAAAAGGCCUCGUGAGGCCACAAGUGAGAGUACCCGAAGAAAAAGCAUCGGCUAACUCCGUGCCAGCAGCCGCGGUAAUACGGAGGAUCCGAGCGUUAUCCGGAUUUAUUGGGUUUAAAGGGAGCGUAGGUGGAUUGUUAAGUCAGUUGUGAAAGUUUGCGGCUCAACCGUAAAAUUGCAGUUGAAGCUGGCAGUCUUGAGUACAGUAGAGGUGGGCGGAAUUCGUGGUGUAGCGGUGAAAUGCUUAGAUAUCACGAAGAACUCCGAUUGCGAAGGCAGCAUACCGGCGCCCUACUGACGCUGAGGCACGAAAGCGUGGGUAUCGAACAGGAUUAGAUACCCCGGUAC
rnacentral:rRNA from 1 species